GUGAAAUCAUUUUCAACUCAGGUUCAAAAAGGAAAUUAGAUUUUUAUAUUUUUAUCUUAAAUAACAGAUGUUUAAAUUGCGCGUUUGUGCGUCGUGAUGUGCGGUCUAAACGGGAUGUUGUACACGGACAAGAAUCAGCGCAUCCUCUGCGGUCCUCGUUUGUUUUUACCAGCUCCAUGAUGUUGACAUAAAGAAGCGCUUCGCUUGGGUGGCGUGCGCUCCUACAGUCAGUUCCUGCUUCCUGGGCGACACUUGUGUGCUGGAUGGCUCCGCCAUAACAGCAGCAGCAGCAGCUCCGUUUACCGCUGAUCAUCUGAUGCUGCGUGUUCGUGCGAACAUCAGGGAACAUCAUCUCCUCCAAGGUUCUCCAUCAGUCUGCUUAGUGACGACCAGAGGGUUCGACAAGUCCUUCAAAUGUUCAGAAGGGCAGACAAGAGGCGGGAAUCUGCCACACAAGGUCUCCCGGAGUCUUCUAAGUUCUAGCUUGACCUGCCAGACCUUUAUUGAUCCGAGGGGCAGAGCAGAAGGAGGCAGCAACUCACUGUUUUGUAUUAAACUUCCUUUCUCUGGAACAUGCCUCUCAACAGAGGUGAGGGAGGUUGGAGUAGAAUUAAUCACUCCUUGUUUCCUAGUGUGCUGGCCUCAGGGAAGUGCACCCCACACUUCCAGACGCAAACAAACAUUAGCUAGUUCCUCCUCUUCUACUUCAUCCAUUUAUCUUCGCUCAGACCACCUCUUUUUCUGCUGAGUGCUGGUUAUCUGAUGUGUUGGACCGAAAUAAAAAGUUUUUUUUACUUGUUCAAACUUGAGCUACUCAGCAUGCAGAAUUUCAGAAACCAUAGUUCAAAAACUGUGACACACAACACAGUACGUACUAUAAACUUCACUGGCCCACUUCAAUAAAAUGAAUGGUUUUAGUGUUUUUGACAUGUUCUUGUGAAAUUUUGGUGAUGAUGGAAGACGUGUUUAGAAAAUUAAGUCUAAAAGUGCAUUUAUGAGUAUUUCUUCAUUCAAAUCAUUGUGAAUCGGGAGAAUAUGUAAAAAAAAAAAAGGCAAUUUAAAAAAAAAAGCUUAGUUGAAACAUAGAAAAUACACUGGGUGGGCCACAAACUUCCUGCUCUGCUCCAUACCGAUGAUUCUACAUGUAGAUAAAUAUGCAUAUUUAGCGCUAUACUAACAUGUUGGAAGACUCAAAGUGCUUUACACUCACAGUCCCAUUCACACAUGCACACAGACAUGCACACACUGAUGGCAGUUCCAGGCCUACGCUAGCACCAACCUGGAGCCACCAGGUGCAAUGUGGGGUUCAAUGUCUUGCCCAAGGACAAUUGAAUGGGUUAGUUCAAAAGGGGCCCAAGUCCACAAUUUUUUAAAAUAGAGAUAUUAUAUGUUCUAUGGUCUUCAAGGGAAAAGCUAUCUGAUUAUGUGCAAAAAAGUCCCAAGUCCAUUGUAAUGUAUUGACUAUGCGUGACAUUAAAAAUGCAUUAAGAGCAAAAUCCCUGGACUUGGGCCUGUCUUGCAUGGGUUUAGCUUUAUCCCAUAGAUGGCAGCACUAGUUAUCUAAUAUGGCAGCGCCCCUGUUUAAUUCAAGAAGGGCCCAAGUCCAGAGAAUUUAGUUUGCUAGUCCUCUGAAAUUAUAAAAGUGAGGUGCUUCAUAUUAUAGCAUUUGUAAGCUAUGAACUGGUGCUAAAUCUGGGUAAAGUAUUAGUCAUUUGGUGUAGCCUCCUUUUAAGCUAUGCAAUUAAAAUAAUUUCCCGGAAAAACAAACCUCUUGGACUUGGGCCCCCUUUGAACUAACAUAUUCAAUUUGACACGUGGGCGGGAAACGCGGGAACCAGACCUGCCAUCCUCUGGUCAUAGGUCGACCCCUCUACUUGUGCACCAUGACCCCAUGUUCGUGUGUGUUUUUCUCCUCCCAGCUGGCAUCUGGCUCAAACCUGUAGGGCUGGAUAGCUCGCCAUUUUUUGUUAUGCUGGUAAUGUUAGCCUGAGGGUGGCAGGGGCUGUAAGCUAGAGGGAGAGCAUGUAAACAGAGAGCUCUCAGUUAUGGGUGAUGGGAAGGGGGGCCGAGGUUGCUCCACACCAAGGGUCCCGCCCAUACUCAGAGGUGAGUUUCUGAUGGACUCCUGCCGCUCUGUAGAAACUAUGUGCUAGAAAAUGACACAGUUGUUGUAUUUUGGCUAAAAACAGCAUGAUCAUUAUUAAAAGACCACUGGGAACACUUUUACAACAGACUUUA
ensembl:lncRNA